rnacentral:lncRNA from 1 species
UCAGCCCUAAACACCAUAGACAAAGAAAGUCUACUUGCCAUAGGUUUUUCGAUGGACUUUGAUUUAUCGGUUGUGCCAUGUUGGCUAUAAUCGAUUUCGAGGUUUAUCUCCAUAUAAGAGAAUUUCACCUCCCUCUUGGCUCAUUGUUCUACUUCUCAAAUCUCCUUUAUUCUACUAAAACUCUACCUGGCUUAAGCAUUGAAAAGUGCCCCAUCAAAUACAUUCCGACAGCCUCUGAUUGCUUCUCAUUUUUACAAACCAAAUCUCAUAUCACAUGGUCCAAGUCCAGUCGAGCCGACCAAUCUCUAUUCGCUAAAUCACUAACUUCAUCAAAUUAGGUCUUGGGCACCAACAAUAAACACCAGAGAUGUAUACAUAAAAACAAAAAUCUUGCAUUAACAAUAGCAAUCUUUGGUUGCUUCUUAGGAUCUUGGUGACAGGCAACCAAAACAUGAGUAUCAAGUCUUAGUGAUGCACUGUAUGAGACUUAUAAGCAAUCAAAACCAACUGCUCGCCUCAUCCUCAUCC